GAUGAACGCUGGCGGCGUGCCUAAUACAUGCAAGUCGAGCGAACAGAUAAGGAGCUUGCUCCUUUGACGUUAGCGGCGGACGGGUGAGUAACACGUGGGUAACCUACCUAUAAGACUGGAAUAACUCCGGGAAACCGGGGCUAAUGCCGGAUAACAUUUAGAACCGCAUGGUUCUAAAGUGAAAGAUGGUUUUGCUAUCACUUAUAGAUGGACCCGCGCCGUAUUAGCUAGUUGGUAAGGUAACGGCUUACCAAGGCAACGAUACGUAGACGAACUGAGAGGGUGAUCGGCCACACUGGAACUGAGACACGGUCCAGACUCCUACGGGAGGCAGCAGUAGGGAAUCUUCCGCAAUGGGCGAAAGCCUGACGGAGCAACGCCGCGUGAGUGAUGAAGGUCUUCGGAUCGUAAAACUCUGUUAUUAGGGAAGAACAAAUGUGUAAGUAACUGUGCACGUCUUGACGGUACCUAAUCAGAAAGCCACGGCUAACUACGUG
rnacentral:rRNA from 1 species